GUCACCUUCAUUUGUUUGAUUAACCUUGAUGUGCUGGCCACAGCUGGUUUCUCCAAGGUUUACAUCUGAUCCUAAGCCAUCUGGACUCACCAUGGUCAAUGAGGGAAGCAGAUUCACGGGCUUGAUAAAAGGAGUCAUACUCACUGCAGGAAUACAUUAGGAAAGACAAGAGAACCCACAGAUCCUCUGAAGGAAGCAGACUGCUCCUGCAGGACCUAGGAGACACACCAAAUACUGUGAGUGCCCAAACUGUGGAAGUGGGAAAUGGAGAUCAUCUGCCCCCAAACACCCCCCCACACUGGAGAACCUUGAAGAUCUAGAUUACAGGAGAAUAUUCUGACCUCACCUGCAGUUGCAGGCAGAUAGAGAGUGGCACUGGAAUCAUCUGAAGUUCAACUGGGCUGGACCUUCAAGAUGGCUUCUUCCCUUGCAUGCCUGGACCCUCAUUGUGGAUGGCUGGAACAGCUGGCCACUGGCUGGGCACUGAGACUUUAUUACAUGGCAUGGCAUUCAUGACGAUGGGAGGAGCAGGCAGAAAUGCAGGCCGGAACAUUCCACAGACCAGGGACAGUUUCCAGAAAUGGUUGCAGAGGGGGUCUGGCUUCCCGGGGGUGGCUGGAGCAGGUAUGACGAGCGGGGGUGGGGGUGUGUGUGGGGGUGUAGGGGGGUGGGGGCGGCACAGGCGAGGAGGAGGCGGGGCAGGUGGUGGCUGGGGUCAGGCCUCAGGAGAGGACUUGCGCUUCAGGCCGUGUCCUGUGCCAUGAGGUUGCCUGGGGAGCCGGCCUUGGCUUUCUGGAACUCCUCCAGCUUCUGUCAGUAGCACUUGUACCCUUGGCUGUUGGGCUUGUACAGAAAGCUGAAUGCCUGAUUUUCAUGAUGGUUCUGGAGGGUGAUGGUUUCCACUCGGGAUCCCUGCCUGCUAUGAACCUGGCCAAGUUCUCUGCAAGGUUCUUGACCUCUACGUCCUCUGGGGGUGAAACUUUCUGAGAGGCUGCCGGGGACUUCUGCGCUUCCUUUCUUACCUCAGCCACCUUCUUUCUGUAGUAGAGGAAUUCCCUGCUAUUCUUUAUCAGGCAAAAAUGCAAACGCAGGGUUAUCCUUGUAAUCCUCCAUAGCUUCUUUUUCUAACUCCUCUGCCACAAAGUGGGCCAAUUUCUCUAUCAUUUUCCGAGUCUCGAUUCCUUCUGGGAGUGAAAGUUUGAUUUUCAGCCACUGCUCAUAGUCCUCCUCCUUCUCUUCCGGGUACUGGAAGACACUCAGACAGUGCGCCACCAGCAGCUGCUUGACUGCGAGAGCUCGUCACCUGGCCCGGGGAGCUGGCCAGCCCCAGGCCUGUAUGCUUGCUGAUGAGGAGGGACCCCUUUCCUGCACUGGGGGUAAGUGUGCUGGAAGGGGCAGUGGGCGCACUGGGUAGGGGGUGGGGGCCGGCAUCUGUGCUGGUCUGUGCCUUCUGCAACUUCAAAAACUGCUGCAGUAAAUGACUGUCGUUAGCGAACUUGUUGGAAAGGCAGGAAGAGUUGUGUGCAUUUGAGAUUUCUCUGGGAUGUGGGGACUGAGGGCUGGCCCCUGAUUCUGCUUGGCUUUCUGUUCCAUUUUGGCUUCAAUUUCCCCUUUCUUCUGAGCAUUGAGCUCUUCUUGGUGAAGGAUGUUCAUGUUCAUUUUUCCAGAUUUAGGGGGAGAAACUCCAAACCACCCAUAGGCCUUUCUUAUGGAAUCCCGGUUGUCCAUCUUGAGACUCAUCCAAUCCCACAGUCUCUCUACCCACUCUUAUGUGACAGACCUAUAGUCACUUUAAGAUGUGAACACACUCACAAUUCAGUAAUUAGAAUGUCCUGACCACGGGAUAACAAAGAUUUGCCCUUGGUCACCUCUUUUGUUUCCCAGGUUGUACCUGCUUCAGGCGGCUGCAGGGACAGGGUGAGUUCCUGGGUCUCUCUCAUCUCAACUCCUUCCCCCCUCAUAAACUGUUGGUUUGGAACUGCCAGUGUUAAGGGUAGGAGAGAGCAGAGGUGUAGGGGAGGGCACUGCUUGGCUGGGAAGCUUCAGGUUCUCUGGACAUAUGGAUGGUUAAAGCUGAUGCACCAAGGUGGGACUGGAGAUGAUGAAGCCAACUCUUCUCUCUCAGGUUCUUCUUCUUGAGCUCUUCAGAGGUCUCCUACUGGGCCCUCUCUUACGCUGUUCCCUGGACUAAGAUGGAUUGCUUCCUGGGCGUCCACCAUACAACUCAGUAUCUUUCGGCUGUUUCCUCCUUUAAGUAGUCCUGCUGGCUGAGAAGCAGGAUAACUUCUUUCCAACACUCUCUCCCUCCUGACACAUACCUGAUAUGAAACACAAAGCAUCAUUCAGCUCAGUUCCUAUGCAGUAGUGGUCUCUUGGCUUCUCUAUCCAAGCAGUUAAUGAGCUUCCAGACUUCCUAGUCCCCAGCCCACUUAAGCUUCAUCAGGUCAAGUCAGGCACCAGUCUUCCAUGUCUCCAGUAGCAGGGAGCACAUUUCCAACCUGUUACAGGCAUUCGCUGAGACUCCCCAACUAAGUUUGGGGAUAGAAGGCAACAUACCUCAACCCAUCCUCUAUUAGAGAUGAGGAGAGGAGAGCCCUCUCCAAAGAGAUCUUGUCACCAUAUCCUCAACCCACCAGCUUCUCCAAUCACUUUUAUGUCCUUGACUGGACUGAGGGAUCCAAGAGUCAGAAACAACUUCUGGUAGGACUCUUACUUGGUAAAGCUGCAUAAGAUGAAUAUUUAGUGUAUGAUAUCGAUCACAUCAGCCUCAUGGCAGAAACACAUAUUUUAAGAUAUUAGCUAAAAUUGUUUAGUGUUAUUUUAUUUUUUAGAAAAAAACCUUAAUAAUUGGGAUGUGACUAGAAGAAGGGAGUUUUUUGAUUAGUAGUUUGAUGGUGGUAUUUAUAUUAUUUUUCUUCUGCCUACACUUGUCUUUUUUCUAUGAAUUCCAACCUAGGAUAGAGAGCUAGAACAAGGGUGAAAGUGGGGAGUGAUAAUACUACAAGCAUCUGGAAUUACUGAUAUUGACAUCUGGUGCUAGAUGCUGUAGGGGUGUCAUAGACACAGGGAGGAGGCAUCCUGCACUCAGAUUUAUAAUGCAAAGGAAGAAUCUCUUAAAAUGCAAAGGGAGAUACUUACAAAGUAGAAAGGAAUAAGUGACAUGAUUGUGGCGAUGGUUGUGCAAGUCUGUAAACAUAUUAAGAACGAUUGAAUUAGUCACUUUAAGUGAGUGCAUUGUAAGAUAUGUAAAUUAUAUCUCAAUAAAGCUGUUUAAAAAGAAAAGUAAUACA
rnacentral:lncRNA from 13 species